rnacentral:rRNA from 1 species
AGGGUGCAAGCGUUACUCGGAAUUACUGGGCGUAAAGCGUGCGUAGGUGGUUUGUUAAGUCUGAUGUGAAAGCCCUGGGCUCAACCUGGGAAUGGCAUUGGAAACUGGCUGACUGGAGUGCGGUAGAGGGUAGUGGAAUUCCCGGUGUAGCAGUGAAAUGCGUAGAUAUCGGGAGGAACAUCCGUGGCGAAGGCGACUACCUGGACCAGCACUGACACUGAGGCACGAAAGCGUGGGGAGCAAACAGGAUUAGAUACCCCUG